UAGAGAGGGCAAUCCAGUCGC
rnacentral:piRNA from 1 species